AGUAAAGUGGCGUACGGGUGAGUAACACGUGGAUCAUCUACCCUCUUGUGGGGGGAGUAACCCUGGGAAACCGGGGCUAACACCGCAUAAGCUCGAGAGAGGAAAGCAGCAAUGCGCAGGAGGAGGAGUCCGCGGCCGAUUAGCUAGUUGGUAGGGUAAAAGCCUACCAAGGCAACGAUCGGUAGCCGGCCUGAGAGGGCACACGGCCACACUGGCACUGAAACACGGGCCAG
rnacentral:rRNA from 1 species